rnacentral:rRNA from 1 species
AACGAACGCUGGCGGCAUGCCUAACGCAUGCAAGUCGAACGAGAUCUUCGGGUCUAGUGGCGCACGGGUGCGUAACGCGUGGGAAUCUGCCCUUUGGUUCGGAAUAACAGUUGGAAACGACUGCUAAUACCGGAUGAUGACGAAAGUCCAAAGAUUUAUCGCCAGAGGAUGAGCCCGCGUAGGAUUAGCUAGUUGGUGUGGUAAAGGCGCACCAAGGCGACGAGCCUUAGCUGGUCUGAGAGGAUGAUCAGCCACACUGGGACUGAGACACGGCCCAGACUCCUACGGGAGGCAGCAGUGGGGAAUAUUGGACAAUGGGCGAAAGCCUGAUCCAGCAAUGCCGCGUGAGUGAUGAAGGCCUUAGGGUUGUAAAGCUCUUUUACCCGGGAUGAUAAUGACAGUACCGGGAGAAUAAGCUCCGGCUAACUCCGUGCCAGCAGCCGCCGUAA